GACGAACGCUGGCGGCGUGCUUAACACAUGCAAGUCGAACGGAAAGGCCCUGCUUUUGUGGGGUGCUCGAGUGGCGAACGGGCGAGUAACACGUGAGUAACCUGCCCUUGACUUUGGGAUAACUUCAGGAAACUGGGGCUAAUACCGGAUAGGAGCUCCUGCUGCAUGGUGGGGGUUGGAAAGUUUCGGCGGUUGGGGAUGGACUCGCGGCUUAUCAGCUUGUUGGUGGGGUAGUGGCUUACCAAGGCUUUGACGGGUAGCCGGCCUGAGAGGGUGACCGGCAACAUGGGGACUGAGAUACGGCCAGGACGCCUAGGGGAGGAAGAAGGGGGGAAUAUUGAACAAUGGGGGGAAGCUGGAGGCAGCAAGGCCGCGGGCGGGAUGAAGGCCUUCGGGUGGUAAACCGAUUUCGCCGGUGACGAAGCGUGAGUGACGGUAAUGGGUAAAGAAGAACCGGCUAACUACG
rnacentral:rRNA from 1 species